rnacentral:misc_RNA from 1 species
AUAGAACGGAGUGCUGUAAGCAGUAGAGUAGCCUUGUUGCUACGAUCUGCUGAGGCUCAGCUUUUGUUCUACAGAUUUGUCCUUUUGGACUCUCUAUGAUUGGCAUGGACUGGGGGGCGACCUCAGCAUCUUAAUCAUAGACAGUUUAACAAGACAAGCAGUGAGAGUAGUAGUUGAAAAUCAAGAACGACGGCUGCAGAGGCAAAAACGAGGGGCCAGAGUUGAUUUCUGCCAAGUUCGAGACUGACGACCUUGGCUGAGAUUCUCAAAGCUACAAGUUGGAAGGAUGGACUGGGGGAGACUAGAGGUCUCUGGCAGGGCGGUUGAGGACUAGGACAGGUCCCCUUUGGAAGAGAGCAAGGCUCAAGAGGUGGGUAGACGGUGCAGUCAAAGACUGAAGUCUGGAUGUGAAGUCUUGAGAUGAGAGCUGGCAGGCUUGGGUCUGUACUGGUGAUCGUACUAGGUGCUGCAAAGGCCAAGUAUGAGUACUGGUGAGCCCAAGUCUGCCUGUUUUCUUGUGUGUCCUUCCAGGAGCGACUGGCUUAUAGGGGCUGCUCUGACAUACUGUCAUCUACGGCCAUAGGAUCCAGAAAAUACCGCAUCCCGU